CGGAAGUUUACUUUUGUGAAGACUUAGUGGCGGACGGGUGAGUAACACGUGGGUAAUCUGCCUGAGAGACUGGGACAACAGUUGGAAACGACUGCUAAUACCGCAUAAAGCAUUUUGACCGCAUGAUCGAGAUGCCAAAGAUUUAUUGCUGAAAGAUGGGCUCGCGUCUGAUUAGCUGGUUGGUGAGGUAACGGCCCACCAAGGCGACGAUCAGUAGCCGGACUGAGAGGUUGACCGGCCACAUUGGGACUGAGAUACGGCCCAAACUCC
rnacentral:rRNA from 1 species